GAUGAACGCUGGCGGCGUGCCUAAUACAUGCAAGUCGAACGGUACUCUUUCGGGAGUACAGCGGCGAACGGGUGAGUAAUACAUAGGGAACCUGCCCUCGGGACCGGGAUAGCUGAUGGAAACGUCAGGUAAUAGCGGAUGUGAGUCAUUAUGGCAUCAUGAUGACUUGAAAGGAUGCAGCAAUGCAUCGCGCGGGGAUGGCCUUAUGGCGCAUUAGCCAGUUGGCGGGGUAACGGCCCACCAAAGCGAUGAUGCGUAGCCGAUCUGAGAGGACGACCGGCCACAUUGGGACUGAGACACGGCCCAGACUCCUACGGGAGGCAGCAGUAGGGAAUUUUCGGCAAUGGGCGCAAGCCUGACCGAGCAACGCCGCGUGAGUGUUAAGGCCUCGGUUGUAAAGCUCUGUUGCCGGGACGAACGGUACGUUAUAGGAAUGAUAAGUAAGUAGACGGUACCGGCGAGAAG
rnacentral:rRNA from 1 species